UACGGAGGGUGCAAGCGUUAUCCGGAUUCACUGGGUUUAAAGGGUGCGUAGGUGGGUCUGUAAGUCAGUGGUGAAAUCUCCGAGCUUAACUUGGAAACUGCCAUUGAUACUAUAGAUCUUGAAUAUUGUGGAGGUCAGCGGAAUAUGUCAUGUAGCGGUGAAAUGCUUAGAUAUGACAUAGAACAUCAAUUGCGAAGGCAGCUGGCUACACAUAUAUUGACACUGAGGCACGAAAGCGUGGGGAUCAAACAGG
rnacentral:rRNA from 1 species